UACAGAGGGGGCAAGCGUUGUUCGGAAUUACUGGGCGUAAAGCGCACGUAGGCGGCUUUGUAAGUUAGAGGUGAAAGCCCGGGGCUCAACCCCGGAAUUGCCUUUAAGACUGCAUCGCUUGAAUCCGGGAGAGGUGAGUGGAAUUCCGAGUGUAGAGGUGAAAUUCGUAGAUAUUCGGAAGAACACCAGUGGCGAAGGCGGCUCACUGGACCGGUAUUGACGCUGAGGCGCGAAAGCGUGGGGAGCAAACAGG
rnacentral:rRNA from 1 species